GGAGUUAUAGUCAAAAAUGAUACUUGGGUUGCAUUCAAGAGGUGCUCUAAAAGAGCUAACUUUA
rnacentral:tRNA from 1 species